AAACUGUUCUCAUUCCAUCAACCGAGUACCUAGGUACUGCCAGUAAAGAAUUCGGAGCCGCCGUUAAUUGUGCUGUUGAUUCCACUAUUUCUAGACUAACAAUAAACUCCAUAAAGUAGAUAGACUCAGUUUAGAGUUGCUUCCUUCCAGAGGACCGGCUAGGACAACUGCAUUAAAUGGAGGCUGUUACUCGUAGGCAAUGGGCUACGAUAGAAAGAGGGAGUCCGCCGAAAUUUCGCAGCGGUAUGUCAGACCAUCGGCUGAUGAACGGAAUCCCAUGGAUGAGGAGAGCUAUGAAAUUAUUUACACUACCUUCUGCUGACCAUUAUUUUUAUUU
rnacentral:lncRNA from 11 species